rnacentral:precursor_RNA from 14 species
ACCCAUUUCUACUCUCUCUAACCUCCCAAUUAUAUAUAUAUAUGUACGUAUGUAUAUAUAAAUGUAUACGUAGAUAUAUAUGUAUUUUUGGUGGGUUUAAUUUUUUUUCAACUGAUA